GAUGAACGCUGGCUACAGGCUUAACACAUGCAAGUCGAGGGGAAACGACGGGGAAGCUUGCUUCCCCGGGCGUCGACCGGCGCACGGGUGAGUAACGCGUAUCCAACCUGCCUCUGACUGAGGGAUAACCCGUCGAAAGUCGGCCUAAUACCUCAUGGUAUCGUCUGCGGGCAUCCAACGACGAUUAAAGAUUUCAUCGGUCAGGGAUGGGGAUGCGUCUGAUUAGCUUGUUGGCGGGGUAACGGCCCACCAAGGCUACGAUCAGUAGGGGUUCUGAGAGGAAGGUCCCCCACAUUGGAACUGAGACACGGUCCAAACUCCUACGGGAGGCAGCAGUGAGGAAUAUUGGUCAAUGGGCGAGAGCCUGAACCAGCCAAGUAGCGUGCAGGAAGACGGCCCUAUGGGUUGUAAACUGCUUUUAGGCGGGGAUAAAGUGAGGGACGUGUCCCUCAUUGCAGGUACCGAAUGAAUAAGGACCGGCUAAUUCCGUG
rnacentral:rRNA from 1 species